rnacentral:rRNA from 1 species
UACAGAGGGGGCAAGCGUUGUUCGGAAUUACUGGGCGUAAAGGGCGCGUAGGCGGCCACCGCAAGUCGACUGUGAAAUCUCCGGGCUUAACCCGGAAAGGUCAGCCGAUACUGCGGGGCUAGAGUGCAGAAGGGGCAACUGGAAUUCUCGGUGUAGCGGUGAAAUGCGUAGAUAUCGAGAGGAACACCUGCGGCGAAGGCGGGUUGCUGGGCUGACACUGACGCUGAAGCGCGAAAGCUAGGGGAGCGAACGGG